AAAAAGGCCGGAAUAGCUUCA
rnacentral:tRNA from 1 species